rnacentral:rRNA from 1 species
UACGUAGGGGGCAAGCGUUGUCCGGAAUCAUUGGGCGUAAAGAGCGUGUAGGCGGUUUAGUAAGUCUGCUGAUGAAAGUCCAGGGCUCAACCCUGGGAUGCCGGUGGAUACUGCUGGGCUAGAGUACGGAAGAGGCGAGUGGAAUUCCCGGUGUAGCGGUGAAAUGCGCAGAUAUCGGGAGGAACACCUAUUGCGAAGGCAGCUCGCUGGGACGUCACUGACGCUGAGACGCGAAAGCGUGGGGAGCAAACAGG